GAGAGAGGCCCAGAAGCAACGAUGACUGCUAAUCUUCGUCACCUUGGUUAGAGCCCAGGGCUCACUCG
rnacentral:tRNA from 1 species